CUUCAUCCCUCAUGUCAAAGAUGCCAUCACCCACCUUAUGUCAAAUCCAGACUCAGUCCCACUCGCCGGGUUAGUCCUUGAUUUCUUCUGUCUUCCCAUGAUUGAUGUGGCCAAGGAACUGGGCCUCCCUUCUUAUCUAUACCUCACCUCUGGUGCUGGUUUUCUUGGCCUCAUGCUCUACCUCCCAACUCACCAUAGCCAAAUCGGCACUGAGUUUGAAGACUCGGAUCCUGAUCUGGAGCUCCGGAGUUUCGUCAACCCAGUUCCUGUUCGCGUUUUGCCUGAAGCCGUGAGUAACAAGCAUGGUGGUUACGCUGCUUACAUAAAGGUUGCUCAGAGGUUCAGAGAGGCUAGGGGCAUUAUAGUAAAUACGUUUUCUGAGUUGGAGCCUUACGCCGUUGAGUCGUUCGCCGAUGGUCAGACCCCCCCGGUGUACACGGUAGGACCGGUUCUUGACCUCGGGGGUCAGGCUCAUUCCUGUUCAGACCGGGUUGACCACGGUAAGAUCAUGGGGUGGCUUGACGCUCAGCCGGAAUCGUCCGUGGUGUUCCUCUGCUUUGGAAGCAUGGGGACCUUCGACGCGCCCCAGGUGAGGGAGAUCGCCCUUGGGCUCGAGCGCAGCGGCCACAGGUUCCUCUGGGCCCUGCGUCUGCUGAGGCUCGAUGGCAAACUCGGUGGAAGCUCUGACGGCACGGAACUCAGCGAUAUCUUGCCUGAGGGGUUCCUGGAUCGAAUCGGAGAGAGGGGAAUGAUCUGCGAGUGGGCACCGCAAAUGGAAGCGCUGAGCCACAAAUCAAUCGGAGGGUUCCUAUCCCACUGCGGGUGGAACUCCAUCUUAGAGAGCAUAUGGAACAGUGUACCGGUAGCGACCUGGCCCAUGUAUGCAGAACAGCAGCUGAAUGCCUUUGGACUGGUGAAGGAACUGGGAUUAGCAGUGGAAAUGAGACUGGACUAUCGACAGAUUGGGGGAGAAGUAGUAAUGGCGGAAGAGAUAGAUGGUGCAAUAAGAUGUGUGAUGGAGCAUGAUAGCAUGGUGAGGAAAAAGGUGAAAGAAAUGGGAGAGAUGAGCAGGAGGGCUGUGAUGGACGGUGGGUCUUCCUCCAAGUCCCUUGGACGCCUGAUCGCGGAUAUCAUGAAUCAUCCCCAGUUCCCCACUAACACUGUCACUAACUAGUUUAUUGCUUUGUGUGAUCACGUGGGCUUUCUUCUUUCCUUGGUAAUAAAAAAAUGUUAAAUAAAUGAAUAUAAUAAAAUAGAAGAGAGGCGGUGGAAUAAUUGAGUGGAUUGGGUGUUGGACAUGCCAAGACACAAUCAUUACUUGUCAUAGCCUGGCCCACCACUGACCACACCACAAUUCUAUGCUUAUAACGUAAUGUAAUGAGCCCCGAUUAGAUUGGGUUUGAGAACAAUACAAAUUAGUAGGGCAUGUGCCACAAAUUUUGGCAUAACUGGCUUGUAUUUUGGGUCGGAUCAAAUAUUGGCCGGUCCAAACACAAGGCAUUUUACGGUCUUACCCUUCAUGAAAAAUUUAAAGAAAGAAUUAAUGUCUUUUAAAUUUUUUUAUUAAUAUAAAAUAAAGAAAAUAGAUUAAAAUAUAUCAAAAUUUUCAAUAAUAUACAAACAUGUAUGUAUGAUACAAACAUUUCAAUGAAAACAAAAAGAUAUCACCGUGUUUUUUUAUCUUUGUUUGUGCUUAAUUAUAAAGCUACCUUAACAUACGCCUUAAAAAAAAUCUUAUAACAUAUUUUGUGUACUCAUUUAUUGGUUAUUUGAUGCAUUUAAAAAUGAUUUAAGAUUUUACUUUUCCAAAUAUUAUAAGUAGUUUCAUUCUUUCCUCCAAAGUAAAUAAAUAAUUUUUUUAAUUAAUUUAAUUUCAGAGUUUGAGCAAAUCCACAACAUUUUUGUUCAAUUAAUGAAAUGACAUCGUAAUUACAUGUGAAUUAUCAAAUAGAUCUUCACAAAAUCAAGAGUGGAAAAAAUUAAAAAAUAUAUAAACAAUUAAAAAUUUUAAACAUAUUUUAUCAUCAUUAAUAUUAAUACCUUACAUUGUGGUAAAGAUAACAAAAAAAAAAUUUAUUUAUUAGUCAUUUUUAUUUUAUUAAAUAUAUACUUUUAAUUAUUAAGAUAAAAUAAGAUUUUAUUCUUUAAAUUUGAUUGGAUUUCAAUACUUAAAUAAUUAUUUUUUUAUUUAUAUAAUUUUGAUAUUUAUUAUAGAUAAAACUUAAAUAUUUAAUCCAUUUUAAAUUUUACAAAUAUAUAUAUAUAUAUAUUCUAUUCGAUUUCUUAAGUUUGAUAAAAAUCAAUUGGUGUAUUAGAAGAGGAUGAAAACUAUUACCUUGUCGCUAUUUCACAUCACCACUCCCUCUCAACCUUGAACCUUAACCCCCUAAUCGUCAAUAUAGAUCUUUCCCCAAAUGACUCGAUGCUAUAACUCCUUAAUCGAAAUUCAAAAAUGAAACAAUUGAAUUUUCUUCCUCAACCUCUUCUUUUUAAUAUUAGUUGUAUCCGUUAUAAGUUUCUUAACUUUCUAAUAUUAAUUGGAUUGGAUUUUUAAUUUUAAAUUAUUUUUAAAAGUUCGUAAAUUUUAUGAAUCAAAUAUGAUUUGAUUUAAAUUUAUUUAUCUAAAAAGAAUUAAAAAGAUUAAAGAAAAAAAUGUAUUUUAGACUGAUCAUAUAUGAGAAUUUUUUAAAUUAAUAGAUAAAAAGAAUAAAAUAAUAAAUAUAUCCCAUUUUACUUUAUCAAUUUUUUUAUCUAAUUUUUGUUAAAAUUAUAAUUUUAUUCCGUCAUAGAUUUCUUUGAAUUUUAAAAAUAAGUGAAAAUAAUUUUAAUUUAUUAUUGGAAAAAUUAUUAUUUAUUUCGCUCUAUAUUUUAAAUUAGUUUUCAAAAACAACCAUAUGAAUAAUGCAUAAAAUUUUCUUUGUAUAGUUAGUGUAUUUUCAAAAAUGACAAAAUUCUUAAUAAAUGAUAGUCUUGUACACCCAUUUGAAUAAUUAGUGUAUUUUUCUUAUACAAAUAAUGUAAUAACCUUGUAUAGUUAUAUAAAUUUCAUAUAUAUACAUAAAUUAUGUUCACAUAAAUUUCAUACAUAUGCAUAAAUUAUGUUUACCUGAGUAUGUAAACUAUGUUCAUAAUGGUUUGACAUUUAAAAUAAUUAAAACAAAUAAAAUGAUAUUUAUUUUAUUUUUAAUAUAAAAUGUAAUUAAAAAUAAGAUAAAAUUAUUAUUUAAAUCAAAUUUAUUUAUUUAUUUUCUUUCAUUUUUGGAAAUAAAGAAAAAAAAUAAAAAAUUUAUUUAACCAUAAAAAAUAUAAAUAUAAGAUAGGUUAUAAAAUAUCAAAUUUAUUUAUUUCAUUUUAUUUUUGAAAUUAAAGAAAAAAGAAUAAAAAAUUUAUUUAACCAUAAAAAUAUUAAUAUAAGAUAUGUUAGGAAAUAGAAAUAAUUCAAAAUUUAUUUACUUAUUUCAUUUUAUUUAUUUAAAUUAGAAAAUAAUUUAUUUUAAUAGAUCAAAAUGUGCCCCCUAAUGUUUUACUUUGUUUAAUAGCAAACAUACAAUAUAUUUUAGUUUAUUAUUAUUUUAUAUCCUUAAUAUCAAUUAGAUUGAUAUAAGGAUGUUUGGACAAUUUUGACUUAGGCACAUUUCACCUCAAGCACAACUCUCACCUAGUUCUCAUUGGAUAUUGAAAAUUGUGUAGGAGCUAUCGACACCAUUACAGCCAAACCACAAUAAAGGUGGGACCAGCCGACGAGACCAUAAAUCAUUUCCCUUAGCAGGAAAAAUAUCAGCAAGGAAGAAGGUAAAGUGCUGCAUCAAGAAAAGUAGGAAUUCAGAAAAAGAAGAGACACCUGAGAAUUGCAAUGAAGAAAGCAGAGCUGGUGUUUGUCUCGGUAGCAGGCCGCGGUCACCUUGUAUCAACUGUAGAAUUCGCAAAACGCUUAAUCCAAAGGGAUGAUCGCUUUUCGGUCACCAUCCUCUCCAUCAACUCCCCAUUCGGCCCCGACGCGCAUGGAUACAACAAAUCACACCUUGCUUUUGAACCCGGUCUCAGUUUGAUCGAUCUCCCUCCACAGGAUCCCCCUCCACCUUACCUUAAAAAAUCCAUUGCACAAUUCCUGUCAGUUUACAUCGAGAGUUACAUUCCUCAUGUGAAAGACGCCAUCAUCAACCUCAAAUCAACUCGGCCUCUCGCUGGGGUAGUCCUUGAUUUUAUAUGCAUCUCAAUGAUUGAUGUGGCCAACGAACUGGGUCUUCCCUCAUAUCUGUUUCUAACCUCUGGUGCUGCUCUUGUUAGCCUCAUGCUCUACCUUCCCACCCGCCAUACACAAAUCAGCGCUGCCUUUGAGGACGCGGAUCCUGAGUUGGUGAUUCCAGGUUUCAUAAACCCAGUUCCGGUUAGCGUUUUGCCUGAAGCACUGAGGGACAAGCAUGGUGGUUAUGCCGCUUUUAUAAAGGUUGCUCAGAGGUUUAGAGAGGCUAAGGGCAUUAUAAUCAAUACAUUUACUGAGUUGGAGCCUUUCUUAGUGGGUUCCUUCUCCGACGGCCAAGCUCCUCCAGUGUACACGGUCGGACCAGUGCUUGACCUCGAGGGUCAGGCCCAUUCUAGUGCAGACCGGGCUGACCAUGAUAAGGUCAUGUCCUGGCUUGACACUCAGCCGGAAUCCUCUGUGGUGUUCCUAUGCUUUGGGAGUCUGGGCACCUUCGAUGUACCCCAGGUGAGAGAGAUCGCGCUUGGACUUGAGCGCAGCGGCCACAGGUUCCUGUGGUCUUUACGUCGGCCACCGCCAGAUGGGAAGUUCGGUAGCCCAAGUGAAGGCACGAAUCUGGAUGAGAUGUUGCCAGAAGGGUUCAUGGAGCGGAUCGGAGGAAAAGGAAUGAUCUGCGGUUGGGCACCACAAGUGAAAGUUCUGGCCCACGAAGCCAUUGCUGGGUUUGUAUCCCACUGCGGGUGGAACUCAAUCUUAGAAAGUGUGUGGAACAGUGUGCCAAUAGUCACAUGGCCACUUUACGCAGAACAAAAGUUGAAUGCAUUUGAGAUGGUGAAAGAAUUAGGAUUGGCAGUGGAGAUGAGAUUAGACUCCAGGUACGACGGAGAUGUUGUGAUGGCGGAGGAGAUAGAUGGAGCCGUAAGACGUGUGAUGGAGGCUGAUAGCACAGUUAGAAAGAUGGUGAAAGAGAUGGGAGAGAUGAGUAGGAGGGCUCUGAUGGAGGGUGGAUCUUCAUACAAUUCGUUUGAACGGUUGAUCCAUGCGAUGAUAAAUACCCGGUAAAUAGUACUGUUCCAAAUAUUUUUAAAAAUUAAUUUUAUCUAGGUGUUUUAUUUUCAAUUAUUUUUUAUAUUUAAUCUAUUAUUUUUAAAAUAGCCAAAUUCUAAAUUCAAAACAAAUAAGCACCAACUUAACUCAACUUUUAUGUUACAACUACAAACAAACCAAUUAUAAAUCACCUUAUACUAAAAACUCAAUGGUAAUUUUAAAAAGUGUUUUUACAUUUUUUAACAUUUAAAAUUUUUUAUCAUUUAAGUAUUAAAAUAAUUAAAAGCAUUUUUUAAAAUCACUGUCAAAUUGUAUUCUAAUAAUGCGUUUAACAAUGAUUAUAAGAAGUGUUUAUAAUAUUUUUAAUACUUGAAAAAUGAAAAUUUUUAAGUAUUAUAAAGGUUAGAAACACUUUCUAAAAUUACCAUUAAAUAUAUUCUAAAUCUAGCAAAAAUAAUUAUUUAAACAAAAAUAUUCAAAUAUUUCUUCAUAUUGCAUACAUGUUUUACACAAUUUAGGUAAUAAGUCAUUUCACUUUAAAUAACUAUCAAAUAAGGCACUUGGUUAAAUUAUUGAAAAAUACUACGGUUUUAUAGCGGUAUUUAAUAAAUAAAAUAUCUUAACAAUUGAAUAUAUAUACGUAUGAUAAAAUCUAAACUGUUGAAUAAAGAUAUAACUCAUCAAAAUAUUAAGAUACAAAUAAAUCAUAUAGGGAUGUAAAAAAUAUGACCUAAAAAUAUAUACUUCACACCAUAUGAUUGAUUUUGUUAUGUACAAAAAAUGUCCUUUAAUAUUUUAGCCAAGCCCUCAAUUAUAACAAUAAUUAAUUUAAAUAAUCUACUUCCCCGUUCUGGCCGCCUAUGCAAUGAAGUCCAGGGCCCAGACACCUUUAGCGUCACAUCAUUCUUUAGAUAUUUUAGGUUGCGGGUCCUCUUCCAUACACUUCUGGGACCGUGAUAUUGAUACCUAGAAUUUUAGGGCUUUGACAAUUUGCUUUCUAAAUAAAAUAUCUCUGAAGUUGAUAUAGAAUUUUCUUUCCUCUUUAUGACAAGGGAUUGUGCCAUCUUGAAUGUGUGGAAGUAUGAUCAUGUGGAGGUAUGCCAUCUUGAAUGACGCUGCAUUGUCAUGUUGUGAAUUAUCAAAUAGAUCUUCACAAAAAUCGGGGUGGAGAAAAUUAUUAUAAGAAAAAUCCAAUUUUUUUAUAAUUAAAAAAGUUAUUGAUUCAUGAUUUAAUAGUCGGACUUAUGAUUAAAUUAAUAACGUUAUAAAUAUAUAAUUUAUAUAUCAUUAAAAUUAAAAAUAAUUAUAAAAAAUUUAAAAAAACAUAUAAACAAUUAAAAUUCUAAACAUAUUUCAUCAUUUUAUCAUCAUAAAAAUUAAUAGCUUAUAUUAUGAUAAAAUUAACACAAUAAUUUACUAACUUAUUAGUCAAUUUGAUUUCAUUAAAUAUGUACUUUUAAUGAUUAAGAUAAAAUAAAAUUUUAUUAUUUAAAUUUGUUUGGAUUUCAAUAUUUAAAUAAUUAUUUUCUUCAAAACUAUUAGUUUAUUUAUUUAUUUAUAUAAUUUUGAUAUUUAUUAUAGAUAAAAUAUAAAUAUUUAAUUCAUUUUAAAUUUUACAAAUACAUAUUAGAAGGAGGAAAACCCCACCCCCAAAUCUUAACCUUAAGUUUGUAGUUGUUACACCCCAAAACACACUCCAAGGUCAUGAUAAUUAUUUCACACCUCAAGCCCAAAUGCUCAAAGUGGAAAUGACACAAAUAUUCAUAUUGUAAUUGGAAAUUUACCAAUUACCAAAUUCCUAUUUAGAGUAGUAUGACAAAAUUCUAAAAUUUUCAAGUAUCAACUUUAAAAAAAAAACCUAAUACAUCAACCAAUGUGUUAUUGUCCAAAUAACUCUCAAUUCAAAUAAUUUAAACAGGAAUUAAAAUUUAAUAUCUAAACAAUGUCACAAAUAAAGUUUGAACCAAAAUCCUAAUAAAGAAAAAAUUUCCCAAUUUAGUCAUUACUCCUUGCCCGAACUGAAAGUACCUGAAGAAUUAUCAACGAAGGGGCAUGAGCUUAAAGCUCAAUAAGGAACAUCAAUGCAGUUUCAUGGAUCAAACAUUUUCAAUCAUACUUACAAAUAGGAGAUAUAACAUAUACUUAUUUUUAUAAAAACUUUCGAGUUCAAAAUAUUAAUACAUUCAAACUUUUCAACAAAACUUUCUCAUAUCCAUUUCAAAACAAUUUUUUAUUAAAACCAAAUCGAAUACAUUCAAAAUAUUUUUACUUUGGUUAUCAAAUAACAAAUGGUGUCCGGUUAAGUGAGAUUUUACAAAUGAGGGGUUAGUUUCAAAUUUGUUUCAUUUAAGGUGAACAAAACCAAAUGUCAACAAUUAUAACCCGUUGACUAGGGCCGUAAGGUCAACUAUUAUAACCCGUUAACUAGGAUCAUAAGGUCAACUAUUAUAACCCGCUGAUUAGGGCCGAAAAUGUCAACAAUUAUAACCCGUUGACUAGGGUUAUAUAAUCUAGAGUCAAACAUUUUAUUUCAUUAAUUCAAACUUACAAAACAAAAUAACAUAUCUCCUUAAUUUUUCACUUUUCAUAUAUAAAUAAAGAAAAUUCUCAAAAAAAAUAUUUUUAAUACAAAACACAUAUUUGAUUCAUACGAAAAGAUAAAAGUAAUAUUUUUACACUUUACACAUUUCAAAAUACAAUAUAAAAAGAAAAUUAUUUUCUUCUAUAAAAAUCUGCAUUAAUUUCCCUUACCUUGAAGAAGCAUUCAAAAUCUUGAAGUAUUUAACUCUGAAAAAUUUUCUCCUCACCUAACAUAAUAUCAUACACAAUAUUAAUUAUUGAUUAUUUAUCCAAAUAUAUAAAUUUGAAAAUCCUAAAAAUGUUUUAUUUAGUAUUAGGGAUCCUAAUUAAUUUCUCAUGUUAAUAUUAUUAUUAUCCACUAUUAUUUUUUAACUUACUAAACAAUAAUAAAUUAAUUUAGUGAGUUUCUAAAUUAUUGUAAAAUUCAUUUUCUUUUCUAAUCUUACCCUCACUAUUUAUUUCUUUACAUAAUUAAAUUAAAUUAAAACUUAUAUAGGAAACUAUUAUUAUUAUUAAUAUUUCAUAUGUUAACUUAAAACUAAAUAUUAUAAUUUUUAUUAAUUUUCAAAUUCAAUACAUAACCAACCCAUUAUCCUCCUAUCUUCAUUGCACGCACAAAACCCUAAGAAUAAAAUUGUAAGCCUCAUGUUUCUUCUUAUUAUUUAUUAUUAUAAAAAAUAUAUUUACAUAUACAAUCUUUUCCAAUGCCUAAGUCAACACCUUGGCAACACACGCUUGCUCCAAUUUUUUUUUUUUCCAAAUCUAAAGUCCACACAAAUGAUAUAUUUAUUUAUUUUCUAAAUCUAAAAUUUCUUUUCUUCCAUUGAUUUUUCAUUGAUUUUGUUUGCUGUUUGAUUGAAUUUUUCUAAAUCUUCCUAUUUUCAUCACAAAUUAAUCAACAUUCAUAAAUUUACAGUCUUUUGAUCUAAAAAUUAAUUUAAUAAAUCCCAAUCUAGAUUGAGAUAUUCCAAAAAAAUAUCUAAAGUUUUUAAAACUAAGUAAUGAAUAUAAAAUAUUAAUUUAAGGAUUAAAAUCUUAUCUAAAAAAUUGAUCUUUAAACCCUAAACCUCAAAAUUCUGAGUUCUUUGAUCUUAUGAUCUUUGUGUAAAAGAGUUUUCUAAAUAAAGAAGAUAUGAAAAAUCUAAUUUAUAUCUAGGGAUUUCAAAUAUGAAAAUACAUUUUUACCCUUAUUAAAUUACUUUAACUAAUUAUUAAUUUCUAAAUUAUGAUUUUAUCCCUAAAUUGGGUUUGGGGCAUUACAAUAAUUGUAAAUAUUGAUCGAUAUUUUGCCAAUGACUCGAUGCUUUCACUCCUUAGUCAAUAUUAAAGGAUGAAACAAUUGAAUAUUAAUUUAUUUCCCAACCUUUUCUUUUUAAUAUUAUUGUAUCCUUCAUAAGUUUCUUAACUUUCCAAUUUUAAAUUAUUUUUUAAAAUUAAUAAAUUUUAUAUAUCAAAUAUGUUUUGAUUUAAAUUUAUUUAUCUAAUGAAAAGAUUUAGAAAAGUUUAAAAAACAUUAAAAAAAUGGAUUUUUAGAGAGAUCAUAUUUGAGAUUUUUUAAAAUUGAUUGAUAAAAAGAAUAAAAGAAUAAAUAUAUCCCAUUUUACUUUAUCUAUUUUUUUUAUAAUUUUUGUUAAAAUUAUAAUUUUAUUCCUUCAUAGUUUUCUUCAAGGUUUGAAAUAUUGAUAAAUAUGAAUAUAUUGGUAUUUGGAUUUUACGGAUAUAUGGAGAAUAUCUAAGAAAUAUCAAUAAAACAAAAAUUAUUCAAAAUUCAUGAAAAUAUUUGAAAAAACUAGAAAAAAUGAUAAAUAAAUAAAAAUACAUAUGUUAAAGUUAUUUUUUUAAUUGUAAUUGAUAUAUGUAUGGUUAAAGAAAAAAAUAUUGAUAAGUAAGAAUAUGCUAAUAUUAAUAAUUUAUUAUUUAUCUAAUCAAAUUAAUUUUAAUUUAUAAAAUAUUACAACUUAAUUAUUUUUUUUAUAUUUUAUUAUUAUUUUUAAUAAAUUCAUAUUUUUAAUAAUUUAAAACAAAAAAAAUCAAAAUUAAAUAAAUUUAAAAUGAUAAACAAAAAAAUUUUAAAAGUGAAAUGAUAUUAAUUUUUUUAAAAUAUGAUUAAUGAGAUAAAUGAUGAUGUAUUUAACAUUUAAACUAUAAUUUAUUUAAUUCAAAUGUAUUCUAAUGUAAAAUAAGUGAUGAUGCAUAUAUGAUUUUUUUAAUAUUUUAUUAUUAUAUAAAUAAUAUUGAAAAAUAUUUAUUAAAAAAAUUAUAAUGAUGAUUUUUAUACCUUUAUUAAUUAAUUAAAUAAAAUUUAAAAUAAAAUAAUUAAUUUUUUUUCAAUACUGAAAUUUAACAUAUUUAUUAUUAUCGGAUAUUAAAAUAUGAGAACUUGGUCUACAACCAAGCUUGAGCACAGGCCUUUUGGCCUGGUUCGAAUCCCCUUCGCAGCCCCUUCAAAUUUGAAGCGCGUGGGUAGCUGGGCCGCGUCCCUUUCGCCACUACUUUAAUUUAAAGCUGCCACUUUAAAUUUGAAGCGUAGGUAGCUGGGCAGCGUUGACCGCAGGAGAGUCCGAUAUAUCGGAUUUCCGGCAAAAAAUUGGCGCACCUAUUUUUCCAUUUUUCGUCGAUAUUUCGGUGAAACAUCCCAAUUUUUCAAACACGUUUUCUUUGAUUUUUAAAAAUAAGUGAAAAUAAUUUUAAUUUAUUCUUGGAAAAAUUAUUUUAAAAAACAACCGUAUGAAUAGUGCAUAAAAUUUUAAAUUAUUUAUUUUAUUAGAAAAAGAAUUUUGGAAAACCUGAGAUGGUAUGGGAUAAUAUCAGCGAUGCAAUAUGGAGCUAUCAACACCAUUAGGGCCAGCAGAUAAUAAAGGUGGGACCAUCGAUCAUUUCCCCUAGCAGGAAAAAUAUCAGCAAGAUAAGAGGUAGGUGAAAGGGAUUGUGGUAGGUGGAGGUUAAAUAUUCUUGAUCUGGGGGUAGGAAGAAGAAAAAUUAAAGAGCAGACAACGGAGAUGAAGAAAGCAGAGCUGGUGUUCGUCCCAACUCCCGCUGCUGGUCACUGCAUAUCCGCCAUAGAAUUCGCAAAGCGCUUAAUCCACACGGACGAUCGCUUUUCUGCUACCAUCCUUCAAAUGCGUUCAUUACUCAAUCCUCAUUCAGAUAUAUACAACAAAUCUCUUCUUGCCUCUGAAACCCGUCUCCAUUUAAUUGACCUCCCUCCUAUUGAUAACCCUCCACCCCAUGAUCUCUUCCUCAAAUCCGCAGAACACUACAUACUGCUUUUCAUUGAAAGCUACAUCCCUCACGUCAAAGACGCCAUCACCCACCUCAUGUCAUCUCGCUCUUCCCCAGACUCAGUCCCACUCGCCGGGUUAGUCCUUGAUUUCUUCUGUCUUCCCAUGAUUGAUGUGGCCAACCAACUAGGCCUCCCUUCGUACCUAUACUUCACCUCUGGUGCUGGUUUUCUUGGCCUCAUGCUCUCCCUCCCAACUCGCCAUAGCCAAAUCGGCACUGAGUUUGAAGACUCGGAUCCUGAUCUGGAGCUCCGGAGUUUCGUCAACCCAGUUCCUGUUCGCGUUUUGCCUGAAGCCGUGAGUGACAAGCAUGGUGGUUACGCUGCUUACAUAAAGAUUGCUCAGAGGUUCAGAGAGGCUAGGGGCAUUAUAGUAAAUACGUUUUCUGAGUUGGAGCCUUACGCCGUUGAGUCGUUCGCCGAUGGUCAGACCCCCCCGGUGUACACGGUGGGACCGGUUCUUGACCUCGGGGGUCAGGCUCAUGCCGGUUCAGACCGGGUUGACCGCAGUAAGAUCAUGGGGUGGUUAGACGCUCAGCC
rnacentral:lncRNA from 1 species